rnacentral:rRNA from 1 species
UACGUAGGGGGCGAGCGUUGUCCGGAGUUACUGGGCGUAAAGGGCAUGCAGGCGGUCGGACACGUUUUGUGUGACAGCGGGUGGCUUAACUACCCGAGGAUACGGAAGACGGUUGGACUUGAGGACUCGAGAGGGACACGGAAUUCCGGGUGGAGUGGUGAAAUGCGUAGAGAUCCGGAGGAACACCGAAGGCGAAGGCAGUGUCCUGGCGAGUGACUGACGCUGAGGUGCGAAAGCCAGGGGAGCGAACGGG